GGCGGCAAUGGCCUAAUGGUCAGGCAACGGUGCGCAACACCGCUAUGGACAGGUUCGAAUCCUGUUGCCGCCUCCA
rnacentral:tRNA from 1 species